rnacentral:misc_RNA from 1 species
CAACCCUCAAGCUUGGCUUGGUGUUGGGGCCUUGCGGCUACCGCAAGCCCUGAAAAGCAGUGGCGGGCUCGCUAUAACUCCGAGCGUAGUAACAUAUCUCGUUCUGGAAGGAUGGCGGGUGCCGGCCGUAAAACCCCCUAUUUUCUCAA